rnacentral:rRNA from 1 species
CCUACGGGUGGCUGCAGUGAGGAAUAUUGGUCAAUGGACGAGAGUCUGAACCAGCCAAGUAGCGUGAAGGAUGACUGCCCUAUGGGUUGUAAACUUCUUUUAUAUGGGAAUAAAAUGUUCCACGUGUGGGAUUUUGUAUGUACCAUAUGAAUAAGGAUCGGCUAACUCCUUCCCAGCAGCCGCGGUAAUACGGAGGAUCCGAGCUUUAUCCGGAUUUAUUGGGUUUAAAGGGAGCGUAGGUGGAUUGUUAAGUCAGUUGUGAAAGUUUGCGGCUCAACCGUAAAAUUGCAGUUGAAACUGGCAGUCUUGAUUACAGUAGAGGUGGGCGGAAUUCGUGGUGUAGCGGUGAAAUGCUUAGAUAUCACGAAGAACUCCGAUUGCGAAGGCAGUUCACUGGACUGCAACUGACACUGAGGCUCGAAAGUGUGGGUAUCAAACAGGAUUAGAUACCCUAGUAGUC